rnacentral:lncRNA from 1 species
UAGUUCAUUAUUUCAAUAUGAAUAAAGGUCACCCAAUCUAGUGCUUAGGGAUUGCAUAAUAAUUUUUCAUCUGUAUUUCCUCAACCUUUUAGAAAAUAUGCACAACUCUCUCAUUCUUUUUUCACAGUUGAGAAGCUGGUGCAGAGCUAGAUCAAAUGAGUUACCCUAUACUCUUCAAUAAGGCAAAGGAAGCCAAAAAUAGAACCUCAUUUAUUUUUCUGAACGGAUUUCAAUAGAAUAAGGUAGCAUUCUAUUAGACUUUUUUUCUGUUUCUUCUCCAUCUCCAGAAAGAUCUAUUUCUAAGAAAAGAUGACUACUGUAUCUGUUUUUAUUAGUCAUUUUUUAGACCAUCAGUGGAUGCAAGCAAUGAUGCUGUCUGAUCCAAACAAACUUAUUCCAAAUGCAGAAGAAAGAAAUUACCACAGGGGAGCGAGCAGAAGCUGCAGUUGGAAUGAAGAGCUUUAACAAAGGCAGAAGAAGAAGAUACCAGAGUGUCAGCGAUCCCAAGCCGCUCACACACUGAUGUUCAGGACACACAUGUGGGUGCCACAUGAGCAGGUGAAGCUGUGAUUCUAGCUGCGUGGAAAGGCAGAUAAUAAUUAAACAAUCAGAUGUGCUAAGUGCAUCACGCUGGGACAUCUCUUCGUUUCAGAUGGGUUGAGAGGUUGGAAACUGAAGGCAGUAAGUGAGGAAGUGGCCAAGUUACAGCUGUAAUCCUUAGGUUUUCCUCGUGAUCCCUGGAGCACCGCUGUGCCAGUCUUGUCCUGACACACUCCGGGAGCGUGCCAAACGCUUUUCAGCCUAAGGAGCGCAUUUGACAUCUUUCAGCUGCUAAGACUCGAGGAUU